rnacentral:rRNA from 1 species
AAGUCGAACGGCGAGCACGGAGCAUCUGGUGGCGAGUGGCGAACGGUGAGUAAUAGUAUCGGAACGUGCCAGUAGUGGGGAGUAACUGCUCGAAAGAGCAGCUAAUACCGCAUACGACCUGAGGGUGAAAGGGGGGGAGUCGCAAGACCUCUCGCUAUUGGAGCGGCCGAUAUCAGAUUAGCUAGUUGGUGGGGUAAAGGCCUACCAAGGCAACGAUCUGUAGUUGGUCUGAGAGGACGACCAGCCACACUGGGACUGAGACACGGCCCAGACUCCUACGGGAGGCAGCAGUGGGGAAUUUUGGACAAUGGGCGCAAGCCUGAUCCAGCAAUGCCGCGUGCAGGAAGAAGGCCUUCGGGUUGUAAACUGCUUUUGUCAGGGAAGAAAUCCUCUAGGUUAAUACCCUUGGGGGGAUGACGGUACCUGAAGAAUAAGCACCGGCUAACUACGUGCCAGCAGCCGCGGUAAUACGUAGGGUGCAAGCGUUAAUCG